rnacentral:piRNA from 1 species
UUCAAGCUGUUCGUCUUGCCUUAGAGUUU